GCGACAGUAGCUCAGUGGUAGAGCCCUGCUUCUCAUGCUGGGAGACCCGGGUUCGAUUCCCGGCUGCUUCC
rnacentral:tRNA from 1 species